GUACGAUCAUACCAGCACUAAUGUACCAGAUUCCAUAAGAACUCUGAAGUUUAGGGUGCUUGGGUAAGAGUAAUACUAAGAUGGGCAUUGUCACAAGACUUCCACACACACGGGCA
rnacentral:rRNA from 1 species